rnacentral:tRNA from 1 species
GAGGGUAUAGCUCAAGCGGUAGAGCGCAUGCUUAGCAUGCACAAGGUCCUGGGUUCAAUCCCCAGUACCUUCA